rnacentral:ncRNA from 1 species
CUUUUCCGCUAGGGGUGCCUUUAUGCGAAGGCUGAGAUUAAAGCGUGGACUUUAAAACCCUUGGAACCUGAUCUGGUUGAUACCAGCGGAGGGAAGUGGAGCCAUGUCGAA